GAGUGAAUGUGCUCUAGAAUCCAG
rnacentral:miRNA from 1 species